rfam:Halobacillus mangrovi strain KTB 131, complete genome.
UGUGGUGGUGAAGGCGAAGAGGUCACACCUGUUCCCAUGCCGAACACAGCAGUUAAGCUCUUCAGCGCCGAUGGUAGUCGGGUCGAUCCCCGUGAGAGUAGGACGCCGCCACGU